CCAAGUUUGGCCGAGUGGUUAAGGCGACAGACUCGAAUCUACCCCUAUUGUUCCGGCAUUGGGGGUUAAGUGAUCUGUUGGGUUCGCCCGCAUAGGUUCAAAUCCUGUAGCUGUCG
rnacentral:tRNA from 1 species